AGAUUUGAGGGUACUCUGACUGCAACAUCUAUCACCCCAUUGAUCGCCAGGAUUGAUUUGGCUGAUCUGGCUGGGUAAGCGGGUGUCCCCGUCCUCCCUCGCUGCCCCAUGUGUGCCCCUCCUAAAGCUGCAUACUCAGUUGAAGAGGACGAGAGGACGACCUUCUCUGAUAGAGGAGGACCACGCUUCAGUCAAAGGCAUACAAGUAUCUGGACUUCCCUGCUAGCACUUCCAAACAAGCUCAGAGAUGUUCCUCUUCUCGUCU
rnacentral:sRNA from 1 species